ACCCCGGCCCCCUGGCUGGGAUGGGGCGGCAGGAAGGUGGCCGUCCGGCAGCCCCGUGGGUCUGUCCGGCUGUGUAAAAUCAACCCACUCACCCUGCCUCAACUGCCUUACUGGGCGAGGGCUGCUGUGUGGCCAUGAGGGAGCCCCCCUCAGCGUGCUCUCGGGACCAGGGUGGGGGUGCAGGCUGGUAAACAGUUAUCGCAAUGCUGUGAGAGAGGAACACAGAAACCGGGGGCACAGGCCGGAGGGUCUGGAGGGGCGCUGGUGCUGGCUGCCGGAGAGGUGCUUAGGGAGGUGGCAUCGAGCUUUGAGACCGGUUCGGGAGGGGGACGGGUGCCUGCUAAGUGCGGAACGCGAGGUGCGCUUUCCCAGCAGGGAGGGGUGGGUAAGGCCGGCAUGUGCCGAAGCGAAGCGGAAGGAAUUCCAGGGUCGGCCUCUGCAGACGGGCCUGCAGGGGAGCGAGGGAGAGAGGAGGCCCGUCUUCUGGCUGCCAGGACCUUCCGGCAUGUGGUGGACCCUGAAUUCUCCGCAGACCCCACCCUGAUCGGGUUCUGGGUGGGUUCUCGGGCCAGGAAGGCCGGUGGGGCUCAGGGAGGGAACCAGAGCUGGAAAGGUCUGCAGCAUCUCCAUAUCUUUACUGAGAUCAGGAGACAGAAGGUCUUGGGUGCAAAUCCCACGGGAAGGUUCCUAUACCCUGAUGGGUAGUCCGAUGGGGCGUUACCUGACUCCCCGUGGGCAGGCCCGGCCUCCACUUGUCUCUGCUUUCAGCUGGGGCAGCCAGGCCCUUGGCUUGAAGGGUCCGUGGGCCCAGUGCUCUGUUCACUCUGAGCUGGUGCAGUCUCUGACAAACCAGGACAGUCGGGGCCUCCGUGGAAGGCACUAGAAGGAGGCACAGCCCCUGAAUCCCAACCAGCAAAUCACCCCUCACCCAGAGCAGAGUCCGGCAACCUUCCAGCUGACCCAGCACGCUUGCUGACUGCAGCCCCGAAAAGAGAAGCAAAGCGAGGUACUUUCCCGCCUGCACAACUUUCGAGUUCCUUUUGGUCCUUCCCCACAACCGACUCGGGUGGGAUAUUCCAGACCCAGGCUCCCGGGGCCGCCUCCUGCGAGCCUGGAGACCGUGUUGUCCGAGAUGUUCACGAUAAUAUCUCAGGCCCGGGGGUCCUGCUGACGGCCGGCCUGAAUCCAGGGACAGUGGGCCUGGAAAGGACCAUCUUCGCCCCGAGCCAACACGCGACGCUGCUCAGCCAGCCCAGAGCUGUGCAACCAUCACCAUGAUCAAUUUUAGAACGUGUUCAUCACACCAAAAAGAAACCUGUCGCCUUUAGCAGAGACACCCACCCCCCCUGCUCCCCCCCUCCCCCCAUUUCACUCCGAUCACUGCCUCUGGCCCUAGGACACCAUGAGUUGACUAAGAAAAGAACAUAAUUUUUACUUUGGAUGUUUGACUCUUGCAGAUCCUAAACCUGUCUCGGCAGUGCAGACACAGAUCUGCGCUGACAUUCUGACCUCGUGCCUUCACUGGGAAAGCCCUGAGACCUUCGCGUGGUCGGUUUUCUAGCUUGACGCUUCCUUUUUUAAGCAAACAAAAUAUUUUUUUUGUUUAUUUCAACCACUUUUUCAUGGACAUCUUUCUAAGAUAUUGUGAACAUUGGCCCAACAGUGAUUCUCCUCCUGUUCCUUAACAGUAGGAUCCUAAAUUUAUUUGGAACUGCAAAGACCCCAUUUAAAGACUACACAUUUUCCAGCUUCCUUAUGGAAAGGUGUAGCCGUAUGACUAAGUUCUGGCCAAUGAGAUGUGACCAGAGGUGUUGUGUGGCACUUACCUCCUCUUUAGAAAGGAAGGGAUGGCCCUUUUCCCUCUUCUUCUUCCUUCUGCCUGGACAAAGGAUAUAAAUGCUGGAGCUUUUGCAGCCAUUCUGAGCCAUGAGGUGACUUGGAGACCAAAGAUCAUGGAAGGAGGAGAAACACAAAACAGACUGGGUUCCUGUCAUCUGGGACUAUUUUAAUCCCGGACUUCCUGUCUCUGGACUACUUAAAAAUAAAUUUUUUAAAUCAA